GACGAACGCUGGCGGCGUGCUUAACACAUGCAAGUCGAGCGAUGAAAGCCUUAUGAACUAUUCGUAGUGAUUGGGGCCGGAUUAGCGGCGGACGGGUGAGUAACGCGUGAGCAACCUGCCUUAAACAACGGGAUAGCCUAGGGAAACCGGGAUUAAUACCGUAUGAGACCCCGCCUUCACCUGAAGAAGAGGUUAAAGAUUUAUCGGUUGAAGCCGGGCUCGCGUCCGAUAAGCUAGUUGGUGAGAUAAAAGCCCACCAAGGCAACGAUCAGUAACCGGCUUGAGAGAUUGAACGGUCACAUGUGAACUGAGACCAGGUCCAAACUCCUACGGGAGGCAGCAGUGGGGAAUAUUGCACAAUGGGGGAAACCCUGAUGCAGCGACGCCGCGUGAGCGAUGAAGGAAUUCGUUUCGUAAAGCUCUGUCCAAGGGGAAGAUAAUGACAGUACCCUUGGAGGAAGCCCCGGCUAAAUACGUGCCAGCCGCCGCGGUAAAAC
rnacentral:rRNA from 1 species